UACGUAGGGUGCAAGCGUUAAUCGGAAUUACUGGGCGUAAAGCGUGCGCAGGCGGUUUUGUAAGUCUGAUGUGAAAUCCCCGGGCUCAACCUGGGAAUUGCGUUGGAGACUGCAAGGCUAGAAUCUGGCAGAGGGGGGUAGAAUUCCACGUGUAGCAGUGAAAUGCGUAGAGAUGUGGAGGAACACCGAUGGCGAAGGCAGCCC
rnacentral:rRNA from 1 species